GAAGCCUUGGUGUCGGCUGGCGGCCGCCGCAAGGCCUAGCAGUGCCUGCGGAGAAGGAGAAGGAGGGGGUCAGAGCCUUCCUGCUUUCCUCUUCUGUUACUGGAAGCUUUGCACGCCUGUGACUUUGGAGGAAGACUCUGCUGAUAGAGGUAUGAUGAGACUGGGGAGGAGGUCCUGAAUAGAGGUGAUGGAGCUGGGGAGGACCUAGUGCAGGGUAGAGAUGUGAUGAGGCUGGGGAGGAGUCAGUGCUAGGAGUGUCUGACAUUGUUCAUAGAAAAGGCAGCUUGUCCCGCCUCUUCUCCCCCAACACUUGGUAUGCAGAAUGCUGACUGAAAGAGAUGGGCAAAUUUUGGUGUACCCUAUAGGAGGAAAUGGCCCAACGGCCUAUCUUGUUCCUAUGUAAGUUGUGAUAUUGUCUACAAACACAGUGCAAGAUUUAACCUUUUACUUCAGGGGGCCAGAGACGAUAUACUUGCAGAAAAUAUCAAAUGUAGGGAUUUAGGAUCAUGCAUACUACAUAUAAUUGGUCUACUUCUCCCACCCCCUUUUUUUUUCUGGUAGCCAAUGAUUUGAAGAGGAUUAAACUUGGGAAAUUAACAUUUACUUUUUUUUCUCCUUGCUGUUUGACCAUUAGGAAUUUUAGUGGCGGUAAAAUUUAGUUUACACAACGCCUCAAUUCUAAGAUAGGGUAGUUUGAAAGCCACUAACUGAGGAGUUAGCCUCUUUAGCUUCACCUUGGAGGGUGGCUGGUGGUGGUGAAGUUUGGUUUUGGUUUUGAUUUGUUCAUUUGUAACUUUUAAGGUGUUGCUAGCACUCCAUUCUGGUUUUCUGUUUGUAGGUGAUCAGGGAUGUGGUUAGACUAAGGACAUUCCCAGGAGGAAGUGCAUUUCAAAGGUCUAUGAAGAAUGUGUUUGCCUGGAGAGUAAUAGAUAAUUAACAAGACUUUAUGCUGAAUAUGGAAGGAAAGGCUGGAGAAUGUUUAGGUAAAAGUAUAAAAUCAUGUAGGGCAUGUAAUAUGACAUAGAACAUAGGGGUUGGCAAAUCUUUCCUGUAAAGAACCAGAUAAGCUGUACUUUUGGCCUUGAGGCUCAUACUUUCCUCUGUCUUUGUAGUGUGAAAACAGCAUUAAACAAUACCAAACAAAUGACCAUUGCUGUGUUCCAGUAAAACUUUUUGUAUGGACACUGAAAAUUUAAUUUUAUACGUCAUAAAAUACAUGUAUUUUUUGAUGGGAGCGGGGGAGCACAUGUGAGGAAAGGGAAGAGGGAGAGAGAGGGAGGGAGAGGGAGGGAGAGGGAGAGAGGGAGAGAGGGAGAGAGAGGGAGGGAGAGAGGGAGAGGGAGAGGGAGAGGGAGAGAGAGAGAGAGAGAGAGAGAAAGAGAAUCUUAAGCAGGCUCCAUGCCCAUCGUGCAGCCUGACAUGGGGCUCGAUAUCAUGACUGGGAGGUCAUGACCUGAGCUGAAAUCAAGAAUCAGACUCUUAACUGACUGAUCCACCCAGGUGCCCCUACUUUUCUUUUGAUUUUACCCGCAGUCAUUUAAAAAUGUGAAAACCAUUCUUAGCUUUCAGGCCAUAUAGACAGGUAGCAGACCAUAGUUUAUUGACCCCUGACAUAGAACAAUAAUGAAGCGUACCGAGUAUUUUUCAAGGGAGAUUUGGGAAAGAGGGUGAACACAAUGCUAUGAUUUUAUUUCCAUCGGUCUAUGUAAUAAUACACAAAAUAAUAAUGAAGGAAGCCUCAAUCUUCCCCCACAUUUGUUAUUAUGAGUUGUGAAACUUGGUAGGCUGAGAUUUAUGAAUGUAGUAGGAUACAAACACAUUCUUUAGUCAAAGAAGUGUCUAUUCCUUGUUCAGAAUUGAAAGGGAUUGUAGUUCAGGAGAUGUGGAAUAACACUGAUUUGUAAUGUUGAUUUAUACCAAGGGAUUUCUACCACAGGAGUAUGAAAAAAUUAAUUAUUGUAAUAAGAUAAAGGGUAAUUAAAAAUAUAUACAUUUUAAUACUGUUUUUAUAUCUGUAAAGGAGAAAAGAUAUCUUGAAGCCACUGAGUUUUAUAGAGGAAAUGAGUAUAGUAGUAGCGCAUGUAGAAAACUGGUUGAGGUCAGAUAUGGUAGGUUGGGGAGGGAGAGGGUUCACCUGUUCAGACAUUUGAGAUUCUUAGAAAAGGCAAAGCAUCUAAUUUUCCCUGACCACUUUUUUUUUCAAUUUCUCAAAUUAUGGAAAAAUCACAAACACAUAGAGAGUGUUCUGUUUACAUUUUAUACUUCAUAGUGGCUGUUUUUUCUUUCCAGUUCAGUGAUACAGAGAGCUAUCUCAUUUUUUUUCCAAGUUUGUGUUGUUACUUAAUUGUGUAUAUGUAUCAUUGUGUAUAUGUAUCAUAUGUAUCAUUUAUUCAACCAUUUUAUUAAGAGUAAAGAUUUAGGGGGUUCCUGAGUGGCUCAGUCAAUUGUGUCUGACUUCAGCUCAGGCCAUGAUGUCACAGUUUUGUGGGUUUGAGCCCUGUGUCGGGCUCUGUGCUGACAGGUCAGAGCCUGGAGCCUACUUUGGAUUCUGUGUCUCCCUGUCUCUCUGCUCCUCUCCUGCUCGCACUCUGUCUCUCAAAAAUAAACAUUAAAAAAUAUUAAAAAAAAAAAAGAAAGAAUCAAAUAUGGCCUUUUGUAGCAACGUGGAUGGAACUGGAGAGUGUGAUGCUAAGUGAAAUAAGUCAUACAGAGAAAGACAGAUACCAUAUGUUUUCACUCUUAUGUGGAUCCUGAGAAACUUAACAGAAGUCCA